UGCAAGUCGAACGAGAACGCAUCCUUCGGGAUGCAAGUACAGUGGCGCACGGGUGAGUAACGCGUAGGCAACCUGCCCUUGAGUGGGGAAUAACCAUCGGAAACGAUGGCUAAUACCGCAUACCGUCGUAGAUCUCAUGAUCUACGAUAAAAGUCUUCGGAUGCUCAGGGAUGGGCCUGCGUCGGAUUAGCUUGUAGGUAGGGUAACGGCCUACCUAGGCAACGAUCCGUAGCUGGUCUGAGAGGACGAUCAGCCACACUGGCACUGAGACACGGGCCAGACUUCUACGGAAGGCAGCAGUAGGGAAUAUUGGGCAAUGGGCGAAAGCCUGACCCACCCACGCCGCGUGGAGGAAGACACCCCUAUGGGGCGUAAACUCCUUUUAUAUGGGAAGAAGGCCUCCCCCAGGGAGGUUUGACGGUACCGUAUGAAUAAGCACCGGCUAACUCCGUGCCAGCAGCCGCGGUAAUACGGAGGGUGCAAGCGUUGUCCGGAUUCACUGGGUGUAAAGGGUGUGUAGGCGGGACGGUAUGUCAGAGGUGAAAGCCCACGGCUCAACCGUGGAACUGCCUUUGAAACUGCCGUUCUUGAGUCUCGGAGAGGUCGCUGGAAUUCGUGGUGUAGCGGUGAAAUGCGUAUAUAUCACGAGGAACACCAGAGGCGUAGGCGGGCGACUGGACGAGUACUGACGCUGAGGCACGAAAGCGUGGGGAGCAAACAGGAUUAGAUACCCUGGUAGUCCACGCCGUAAACGAUGGAUGCUCGGUGUUGGCCCUCAUUGUGGGGUCAGCGCCCAAGCUAACGCGUUAAGCAUCCCACCUGGGGAGUACGCUCGCAAGAGUGAAACUCAAAGGAAUUGACGGG
rnacentral:rRNA from 1 species